rnacentral:sRNA from 1 species
GGCCGGGGACUCUAGGGGGACUGCCGGUGUCAAACCGGAGGAAGGUGGGGAUGACGUCAAGUCAUCAUGGCCCUUACGCCCAGGGCGACACACGUGCUACAAUGGCCGGUACAGCGCGCCGCGAACCCGUGAGGGCGAGCCAAUCGCGAAAAGCCGGUCUAAGUUCGGAUUGUAGUCUGUAACUCGACUGCAUGAAGCCGGAAUCGCUAGUAAUCGCGGAUCAGCCACGCCGCGGUGAAUACGUUCCCGGGCCUUGCACACACCGCCCGUCACGCCAUGGAAGCUGGGGGGACCCGAAGCCGGUGAGCUAACCGCAAGGGGGCAGCCGUCGAAGGUCAACUCAGUGACUGGGGCGAAGUCGUAACAAGGUAGCCGUAGGGGAACCUGCGGCUGGAUCACCUCCUUUCUGG